rnacentral:rRNA from 1 species
AUUGAACGCUGGCGGCAGGCCUAACACAUGCAAGUCGAGCGGUAGCACAGAGAGCUUGCUCUCGGGUGACGAGCGGCGGACGGGUGAGUAAUGUCUGGGAAACUGCCCGAUGGAGGGGGAUAACUACUGGAAACGGUAGCUAAUACCGCAUAACGUCGCAAGACCAAAGAGGGGGACCUUCGGGCCUCUUGCCAUCGGAUGUGCCCAGAUGGGAUUAGCUAGUAGGUGGGGUAACGGCUCACCUAGGCGACGAUCCCUAGCUGGUCUGAGAGGAUGACCAGCCACACUGGAACUGAGACACGGUCCAGACUCCUACGGGAGGCAGCAGUGGGGAAUAUUGCACAAUGGGCGCAAGCCUGAUGCAGCCAUGCCGCGUGUAUGAAGAAGGCCUUCGGGUUGUAAAGUACUUUCAGCGGGGAGGAAGGCGAUAAGGUUAAUAACCUUGUCGAUUGACGUUACCCGCAGAAGAAGCACCGGCUAACUCCGUGCCAGCAGCCGCGGUAAUACGGAGGGUGCAAGCGUUAAUCGGAAUUACUGGGCGUAAAGCGCACGCAGGCGGUCUGUCAAGUCGGAUGUGAAAUCCCCGGGCUCAACCUGGGAACUGCAUUCGAAACUGGCAGGCUUGAGUCUCGUAGAGGGGGGUAGAAUUCCAGGUGUAGCGGUGAAAUGCGUAGAGAUCUGGAGGAAUACCGGUGGCGAAGGCGGCCCCCUGGACGAAGACUGACGCUCAGGUGCGAAAGCGUGGGGAGCAAACAGGAUUAGAUACCCUGGUAGUCCACGCCGUAAACGAUGUCUAUUUGGAGGUUGUGCCCUUGAGGCGUGGCUUCCGGAGCUAACGCGUUAAAUAGACCGCCUGGGGAGUACGGCCGCAAGGUUAAAACUCAAAUGAAUUGACGGGGGCCCGCACAAGCGGUGGAGCAUGUGGUUUAAUUCGAUGCAACGCGAAGAACCUUACCUACUCUUGACAUCCAGAGAACUUUCCAGAGAUGGAUUGGUGCCUUCGGGAACUCUGAGACAGGUGUUGCAUGGCUGUCGUCAGCUCGUGUUGUGAAAUGUUGGGUUAAGUCCCGCAACGAGCGCAACCCUUAUCCUUUGUUGCCAGCGGUCCGGCCGGGAACUCAAAGGAGACUGCCAGUGAUAAACUGGAGGAAGGUGGGGAUGACGUCAAGUCAUCAUGGCCCUUACGAGUAGGGCUACACACGUGCUACAAUGGCGUAUACAAAGAGAAGCGACCUCGCGAGAGCAAGCGGACCUCAUAAAGUACGUCGUAGUCCGGAUUGGAGUCUGCAACUCGACUCCAUGAAGUCGGAAUCGCUAGUAAUCGUGGAUCAGAAUGCUACGGUGAAUACGUUCCCGGGCCU